AAAAAAAAACUUAAAUAUGAGUUUUAAGGAGUUUUAAAUGUGAUAAGAAGAUCAAAAACUACCAAAAUUGUGAACAUAAAACUCAAGAAGUUGUAAACAAACGACACAUAAGCAACUCAUGCUUGAGAAGAUGUCAUGUAGGAUGAAAACAAAGUUGGCUAAGCAAGAGAAUGCCACAUAGGAAAGUUUCCAUGAGAAAAAACUCCUAAACAUAUAAAUAAUAGAUU
rnacentral:lncRNA from 1 species